rnacentral:tRNA from 1 species
UACUUCUUAGCCGAGUGGAUAAAGUGUCGGACUUGUGAUCCGCACAUCACGAGUUCGAAUCCCGUAGUGUUUU